rnacentral:rRNA from 1 species
GACGAACGCUGGCGGCGUGCCUAAUACAUGCAAGUAGAACGCUGAAGAGAGGAGCUUACUCUUCUUGGAUGAGUUGCGAACGGGUGAGUAACGCGUAGGUAACCUGCCUUGUAGCGGGGGAUAACUAUUGGAAACGAUAGCUAAUACCGCAUAACAAUGUAUGACACAUGUCAUUUAUUUGAAAGGGGCAAUUGCUCCACUACAAGAUGGACCUGCGUUGUAUUAGCUUGUUGGUGAGGUAAUGGCUCACCUAGGCGACGAUACAUAGCCGAACUGAGGGGGUGGUCGGCCAACCUGGGACUGGGACACGGCCCAGACUCCUACGGGAAGCAGCAGUAAGGAAACUUCGGCAAAGGGGGGAAACCUGGCCGAACAACGCCGCGGGAAGGAAGAAGGUUUUCGGAUCGUAAAGCUCUGUUGUAAGGCAAGGACGGGAGUUGGAGUGGAAAGUGCACGCUGUGACGGUAGCUUACCAGAAAGGGACGGCUAACUACGUG